rnacentral:rRNA from 1 species
UACGUAGGGGGCAAGCGUUAUCCGGAUUUACUGGGUGUAAAGGGAGCGCAGGUGGUUCGGUAAGUCAGGUGUGAAAGCCCGGGGCUCAACCCCGGGAUUGCACUUGAAACUAUCGGACUUGAGUGCAGGAGAGGUAAGUGGAAUUCCUAGUGUAGCGGUGAAAUGUGUAGAUAUUAGGAGGAACACCAGUGGCGAAGGCGGCUUACUGGACUGUAACUGACACUGAGGCUCGAAAGCGUGGGGAGCAAACAGG